UGCCAGCAGCCGCGGUAAUACGGAGGGUGCAAGCGUUGUUCGGAAUUAUUGGGCGUAAAGCGCGUGUAGGCGGUUCGUUAAGUCUGAUGUGAAAGCCCGGGGCUCAACCCCGGAAGUGCAUUGGAAACUGGCGAACUUGAGUACGGGAGAGGAAAGUGGAAUUCCGAGUGUAGGGGUGAAAUCCGUAGAUAUUCGGAGGAACACCAGUGGCGAAGGCGGUCUUCUAGCUUACUCCUGACGCUGAGACGCGAAAGCGUGGGGAGCAAACAGGAUUAGAUA
rnacentral:rRNA from 1 species